rnacentral:lncRNA from 1 species
GGACAGGGAGGCCUGGUGUGCUGUGGUUCAUGGGGUCACAAAAAGUCAGAUGCAACUGAGCAACUGAAAUGAACUGAACUCCCUGAGGAUGAAGGUGAUAACUCAGAAUCUCCACCUACAAUAAGAAAAGUCUUUCCCUCCCUAAUCCUGCUCUCCUUGGUCAAAUGCAUCUGACUGCUUUCAGUUGAUGCUCUUGAAAUGUAAGCUCCUCUAAUUCUGAACAAUGCUCAACGCCAUAGAACCAUGCCCAAGAGGUGACCUUAUGAGAACUGUCCGUAUUCACAUAGCACUCUUCCAGGGAUUACUCGGGUAUGCUUACAUUUUUGCAAAGUCAAGCCAGCAGAGGGCCACAUGACCUACUACCAGCAGGGUGAUGCUGAGUCAUGGUUUCGCAACAGAAGGAACAUGAUACUUCUUCCCAGAUUCUUGAGAAGAAACAGGAAGAUUCUUCCAACUAUAAGGAAGGAGAAAAAUCCUACAGCCACACUGCUUAUAUAUGACAUGGACAACUACCUACUAGUCAUGAUAGAUCUUCUCCCACCCAGAACAAGGAGGAAGACUGGGUUAUCUUCCAAGUCAGUUAUCCAGAAUGGCCAUCCGAGGGUCUCAAAUAUCCCCACUAACUAG